rnacentral:tRNA from 7 species
GGGGCGGUAGCUCAGCUGGGAGAGCGUCGCGUUCGCAAUGCGAAGGUCGUGGGUUCGAUCCCCAUUCGCUCCACCA